ensembl:lncRNA LINC01539 long intergenic non-protein coding RNA 1539
AGAGAGGAAAAGAAUAUCCUUGCUGUGCCAAGAAAGAAAAGACCAUGGAUCUACUAGUUGCAGAUUUCAGCAGUAAUGCCAAGGGGGCAAGAAGUGACCAGCAGAACAAUUAGGCCAUGGCAACAGAAGCCAACUACAACCCAUGUUCCAAUCUAUGACCUCCCUCUCCUGCUGGUACAAGGAUAUGGGCAAGAGCUGAUAAUCAACUGACUAAUGAGGAUUGACUUCUACAAUUGAUGAGCAUGGAAUUGGAUGUGCCUAAAUCAACAGAAGAGGGAUUUUGAUGUCAUCACACUGUAGCCCCAGAAGACAGAACGCUCAAAGGUGUCAAUGGGCAGAAUUUGUAGAUGACAUACAGCAUCCAAUGGAUUACUCCUAUUCAGUAUUCCUUAGAGCAAAGGAUGCAAUGUCAAGCAAGUUGUGAUACCUCAACUAUCUACAAUUUAACACCAAGGAAAGAACACUGUUUGGAGAAAUGAGAAAGAUUAUCAUCAGUGUCUUUCAGAAGUCAUCAAAAGAAGAAAAGGAGAAAAGAGAGGAGAAAGCAGAAAGAUCUGGAGUCUGGGAAGUUCAAGAGCAUGGCACCAACAUCUGGCAAGGGCUUUCAUUCUGCAUCAUCUCAUGGAGGAAAAUAAAAAGGAGGCUGGAUGCUCCUGUGAAGUACGUCUUUUAUCUACUUGCUAUCUUUGCAAUUCCUUCAUGCUACAAUGAGAGAUAGAGUUUAAACCUGAAAACAUUCUUGGAAAAGGAAUCUUCAUUAAUUCAAAUAUACCACAAGGUUCUGCCACUGUGGCCAUCACCUGGGAUUGGAGAAAGGCAAAUGGAACAGACCAACUCAGAAUUACAGUCCUCAUUUAUUUCAUCAGAGUGUCUUCCAGAGUCCUCACGAGUAUCAGAGAAGGCAUAAUCUGUACACGUGGCUUCAUUUAAAAUGAAAAUAUCAAGCAGUGUCAUUUUCACAAGUAUCCCCACACUGUCUGAGGCUGAAAAGAAGAGUGUAGCUAUGCACACUGCAGUGAGAAGAAAAUUUCAGCUCAAUUGGAGGAUGUAAAGAUUGAAAUACCACUGCUCCUAGUUCUGAUGCAAAAUUGAAAAGAGUGCACUGGGUCUUCAAAUGGCAUAUUGACAAGGAGAAAGAGGAAAGGAUGCCCCAGGACAGCCUGGGGGUCAAGGCUGGGCUCAGGCAUGCCUGGACAAGCCAUGCAAGUUGUCUCCGGACUUGAACCACGUAUCAGAGGAGCUAUUUGAGGAGCCACAUCAGCAUACCUGCUUCUGUGGGCCCCCAGGCUGUGGUGCUCAGCCCUUGCACUAUGAAACAUUUUUUUUUUCCAGAAGCCAAAGCUUUGAGCAUCUCCUCCCAUGUAGAGAGUGUAUAUGUUUACGUCCAUGUCUUUCGCCAUGUGAACGCAUGCAACCACCACCUCAAAUAUCAUAAAUCCUCUCUCUCCCCCUUUCUGUCUGCCUGUUUAUCUACAAUCUGUCUAUUUAAAUUCUUUUUAAACAAGAAGGGAAUAUCUUUAUGCCUGUUUGUAGGGAUAUUCUACAUCCAUCUGUUAUUUACAUCAUUCGUUUUCCUGAGGUGUCUCCAACAAAUCCUGGCUGGAUGCACUGUAUGUGUUAUUAAUAAAACAGCUGUAAAA